rnacentral:tRNA from 1 species
AGUAAAAUGGCUGAGGAUAAGCGAUAAAUUGUAAAUUUAUUAACGAAAAAAAUUUUUCUUUUACUA